rnacentral:rRNA from 1 species
AGUGGCGGACGGGUGAGUAACGCGUGAGAAUCUGCCUUGGGGUCGGGGACAACCACUGGAAACGGUGGCUAAUACCGGAUAAGCCGAUUGGUGAAAGAUUUAUUGCCCGAAGAGGAGCUCGCGUCUGAUUAGCUAGUUGGUGAGGUAAGAGCUCACCAAGGCAGCGAUCAGUAGCUGGUCUGAGAGGACGAUCAGCCACACUGGGACUGAGACACGGCCCAGACUCCUACGGGAGGCAGCAGUGGGGAAUUUUCCGCAAUGGGCGAAAGCCUGACGGAGCAAGACCGCGUGAGGGAGGAAGGCUCUUGGGUUGUAAACCUCUUUUCUCAGGGAAGAAGCUCUGACGGUACCUGAGGAAUCAGCCUCGGCUAACUCCGUGCCAGCAGCCGCUGUAAUACGGAGGAGGCAAGCGUUAUCCGGAAUUAUUGGGCGUAAAGCGUCCGCAGGUGGCGAUUCAAGUCUGCUGUCAAAGCACGGGGCUUAACUCCGUAAAGGCAGUGGAAACUGAAUAGCUAGAGUGCCGUAGGGGUAGAGGGAAUUCCCGGUGUAGCGGUGAAAUGCGUAGAGAUCGGGAAGAACAUCGGUGGCGAAAGCGCUCUACUGGACGGCAACUGACACUCAGGGACGAAAGCUAGGGGAGCGAAUGGGAUUAGAUACCCC